rnacentral:rRNA from 1 species
GACGGGUAGCCGGCCUGAGAGGGUGACCGGCCACACUGGGACUGAGACACGGCCCAGACUCCUACGGGAGGCAGCAGUGGGGAAUAUUGGACAAUGGGCGAAAGCCUGAUCCAGCAACGCCGCGUGAGGGAUGACGGCCUUCGGGUUGUAAACCUCUUUCAGCRCRGAMGAAGCGAAAGUGACGGUAUGCGCAGAAGAAGCRCCGGCYAACUACGUGCCAGCAGCCGCGGUAAUACGUAGGGUGCGAGCGUUGUCCGGAAUUAUUGGGCGUAAAGRGCUYGUAGGYGGUYUGUCGCGUCAGGAGUGAAAACUCGGGGCUCAACCCYGAGCCUGCUUCKGAUACGGGCAGACUAGAGGKAUGCAGGGGAGAACGGAAUUCCUGGUGUAGCGGUGAAAUGCGCAGAUAUCAGGAGGAACACCGGUGGCGAAGGCGGKUCUCUGGGCMUUWCCUGACGCUGAGGAGCGAAAGYGUGGGGAGCGAACAGGAUUAGAUACCCUGGUAGUCCACACCGUAAACGUUGGGCGCUAGGUGUGGGGCUCAUUCCACGAGUUCCGYGCCGCAGCUAACGCAUUAAGCGCCCCGCCUGGGGAGUACGG